UUAGUUUGAAGUAUUUAAAAAUUGAAAUGUGAAUCGAAAUAAGGGGGUGUUUGGCCUAUCUAUUUAAGAGUGAUUCUGAGCCCAAAAUCACUUUUGAACUCAGUAGAGUGUUUGGGAAUGACAUUCUGAAAAUCUGAUUUUACUUUUGAGAAUCAGAAAACUGAAUUUGAAGGCACCAGAAUCAGAAGCAGAAAAAAGCUGCUUCUCCAAAACUGAUUCUGAUUUUGAAUUCAAACUUCUAAUUUUUAUUUUUAUUUUAGAUUCAAAGUAUAAAUUUAACAUUAAAUUUAAAUUUUGAAAUUUUAAAUUCAUAUUUGAAUUUUUAAAUCUCAACUUUUCAAAUUUAAAAUUUAAAAUUAACAUUUAAAAUUUUAAAUUUAAGUUUCAAAUCUCAAAUUUUAUAAAUUUUAAAAUUCAAAAUUCAAAUUUAAAUUUUAAAUUUCAAAUUUCAAAUUCAAUUUCAAAUUAUAAAUUUUAAAUUUAAAUUUUUAAAUUUUAAUUUAUUUUAUAUUUCAAAAUUAAAAUUCACAAUUUAAAUUUUAAUUUUAAUUUUCAAUUUUGAAUUUUGAAUUUUGAAUUUGAAUUUUGAAUUUCAAAUUUCAAAUUUCAAAUUUGAAACAAAUUUCAAUUUUUAAUUUUAAUUUUAAUUUUAAUUUCAAAUUUAAAAUUUGAAAUUUAAUUUUUAAUUUUAAUUUUAAUUUUAUUCAAAUUUUUAAUUUUAAAUUUAAAUUUUUUAAUUUAAUUUUAAAUUUUAAAUUUGAAAAUUUAAAUUUAGAUUUUAAAAUUCAGAUUUUAAAUUUAAAAUUUUAAAAUUUCAAAUUUAUUUUUGUACAAAUUUGAAACUUAAAAAUUAUACUUUUAAUUAAAUUUAAAAUUUUAAUUUAAAUUCAUAUUUUAAAUUAUUUUAAAAAUAAAAUUUAGUAAAAAUAUUAAUAUAUACAAACAUUAAAAUUUUUUUGCAAACAGAUUUUGAAAAUCACUUCAGAAAAAUCACUUUUUUAUAAAUUCAACCAAACGUUUUACAGCUUUUCACCAAAAUCAAUUCUCCAAACCAAAAUCACUUUUACUGAAAUCACUUCUCCAGAAGCUAGGCCAAACAGGCUCUAAAUCAUUUCCAUUGCUAGCGUUUGGAUAGAUAGAUUAUCAUUUCGAUUCCCAUUCCGAAGGGAUUUGAAU
rnacentral:lncRNA from 1 species